UAAGGAAUAUUGGUCAAUGGACGCAAGUCUGAACCAGCCAUGCCGCGUGAAGGAUGAAGGCCCUCUGGGUUGUAAACUUCUUUUAUCUGGGAAGAAAACCCCUGUUUCUACAGGGUUUGACGGUACCAGAGGAAUAAGCACCGGCUAACUCCGUGCCAGCAGCCGCGGUAAUACGGAGGGUGCAAGCGUUAUCCGGAUUUACUGGGUUUAAAGGGUGCGUAGGCGGACAAAUAAGUCAGUGGUGAAAGCUCCGAGCUUAACUCGGAAACUGCCAUUGAUACUGUUUGUCUUGAAUAUAGUGGAGGUUGGCGGAAUGUGUCAUGUAGCGGUGAAAUGCUUAGAUAUGACACAGAACACCGAUUGCGAAGGCAGCUGGCUACACUAUUAUUGACGCUGAGGCACGAAAGCGUGGGGAUCAAACAGG
rnacentral:rRNA from 1 species